CCUACGGGAGGCAGCAGUGAGGAAUAUUGGUCAAUGGUCGGGAGACUGAACCAGCCAAGCCGCGUGAGGGAUGAAGGUACAGAGUAUCGUAAACCUCUUUUGUCAGGGAACAAAGGCGGGGACGCGUCCCCGGAUGAGUGUACCUGAAGAAAAAGCAUCGGCUAACUCCGUGCCAGCAGCCGAGGUAAUACGGAGGAUGCGAGCGUUAUCCGGUUUUAUGGGGUUUAAAGGGUGCGCAGGCGGUCUGUUAAGUCAGCGGUCAAAGCCCGGGGCUCAACCCCGGCCCGCCGUUGAAACUGGCAGUCUCGAGUGGGAGAGAAGUAUGCGGAAUGCGCGGUGUAGCGGUGAAAUGCAUAGAUAUCGCGCAGAACUCCGAUUGCGAAGGCAGCAUGCCGGCUCCACACUGACGCUGAGGCACGAAAGCGUGGGUAUCGAACAGGAUUAGAUACCCGGGUAGUC
rnacentral:rRNA from 1 species